rnacentral:rRNA from 1 species
GAUGAACGCUGGCGGCGUGCCUAAUACAUGCAAGUCGAGCGAACAGACGAGGAGCUUGCUCCUCUGACGUUAGCGGCGGACGGGUGAGUAACACGUGGAUAACCUACCUAUAAGACUGGGAUAACUUCGGGAAACCGGAGCUAAUACCGGAUAAUAUAUUGAACCGCAUGGUUCAAUAGUGAAAGACGGUUUUGCUGUCACUUAUAGAUGGAUCCGCGCCGCAUUAGCUAGUUGGUAAGGUAACGGCUUACCAAGGCAACGAUGCGUAGCCGACCUGAGAGGGUGACCGGCCAAACUGAAACGGAGCACCGGGCCAACCCCCAAGGGAGGGAGGAGGUGGGGAUUUUUCCCCAGUGGGGAAAGCCUGAACGGGCCAACCCGCGGGGGGUAAGGAGGGUUUCGGGUUGGAAAACCUUUUUUUUUGGGAAAAAAAAAAUGUGGAAGAAACCACGCCGUUUUUAGGGGAACCAAAUAAAAAACCCCCGCUAAACUCGUG